rnacentral:rRNA from 1 species
UGUGCCUUCGGGAACCGUGAGACAGGUGCUGCAUGGCUGUCGUCAGCUCGUGUUGUGAAAUGUUGGGUUAAGUCCCGCAACGAGCGCAACCCUUAUCCUUUGUUGCCAGCGAUUAGGUCGGGAACUCAAAGGAGACUGYCAGUGAUAAACUGGAGGAAGGUGGGGAUGACGUCAAGUCAUCAUGGCCCUUACGACCAGGGCUACACACGUGCUACAAUGGCGCAUACAAAGAGAAGCGACCUCGCGAGAGCAAGCGGACCUCAUAAAGUGCGUCGUAGUCCGGAUUGGAGUCUGCAACUCGACUCCAUGAAGUCGGAAUCGCUAGUAAUCGUGGAUCAGAAUGCCACGGUGAAUACGUUCCCGGGCCUGUACACACCGCCCGUCACACCAUGGGAGUGGGUUGCAAAAGAAGUAGGUAGCUUAACCUUCGGGAGGGCGCUUACCACUUUGUGAUUCAUGACUGGGGUGAAGUCGUAACAAGGUAACCGUAGGGGAACCUGCGGUUGGAUCACCUCCUUACCUKAAAGAARC